rnacentral:rRNA from 1 species
GACGAACGCUGGCGGCGUGCCUAAUACAUGCAAGUAGAACGAGCGGCGGACGGGUGAGUAAUGCCUGGGAAUUGCCCAGUCGGGGGUGAUAACAGUUGGAAACGACUGCUAAUACCUCAUACGCAUUGAUUGCCCAGGUGGGAUUGGCUAGUUGGUGGGUUAAUGGCUCACCCAGGCGACGAUCCCUAGCUGGUCUGAGAGGAUGGUCAGCCACACUGGAACUGAGACACGGUCCAGACUCCUACGGGAGGCAGCAGUGGGGAAUAUUGCACAAUGGGGGAAACCCUGAUGCAGCCAGGCCGCGUGUGUGAAGAAGGCCUUCGGGUUGUAAAGCACUUUCAGCGAGGAGGCGUUAAUCGCAGAAGAAGCACCGGCUAACUCCGUGCCAGCAGCCGCGGUAAUAC